AUGAGAUCAGUUUUGGACGUUCUGAGUGUGAGGAGCCCGUGGGACAUACAGAUAACAGAUCUGCCAGUUCCUGAAAGGAGCCAAGAUCACGCGGCUCCAGGAUCAGCAGGUUCCCUACGCAGUCAAGGGGAACCAGUGGGUGGGCUAUGAUGAUGUGAAGAGUAUGGAGACCAAGGUUCAGUUCUUAAAGAAUUUAAACCUGGGAGGAGCCAUGAUCUGGUCUAUUGACAUGGAUGACUUCACUGGCAAAUCCUGCAACCAGGGCCCUUACCCUCUUGUCCAAGCAGUCAAGAGAAGCCUUGGCUCCCUGUGAAGGAUUAACUUACAGAGAAGCAGGCAAGAUGACCUUGCUGCCUGGGGCCUGCUCUCUCCCAGGAAUUCUCAUGUGGGAUUCCCCUUGCCAGGCUGGCCUUUGGAUCUCUCUUCCAAGCCUUUCCUGACUUCCUCUUAGAUCAUAGAUUGGACCUGGUUUUGUUUUCCUGCAGCUGUUGACUUGUUGCCCUGAAGUACAAUAAAAAAAAUUCAUUUUGCUCCAGU
rnacentral:lncRNA from 10 species